UUCCUUUCCAAGUAUUACCUCAAUGACUAAAAAAAAUCUGUUCUUAUCAGCUUAAUAUCUGAUACGUCCUGCAUCGCAGGACCAGAAUAUUAAACUCAUUUUUGGCUCAUGACGGAGUGCUAGGGGUUUGCUCCACCUCUGUCGCGGGUUGGCCCGGCGUUGCAGUACCGCCGGGAUCGGCCCACAUAAA